rnacentral:rRNA from 1 species
GAUGAACGCUGGCGGCGUGCCUAAUACAUGCAAGUCGAGCGAACGGACGAGAAGCUUGCUUCUCUGAUGUUAGCGGCGGACGGGUGAGUAACACGUGGAUAACCUACCUAUAAGACUGGGAUAACUUCGGGAAACCGGAGCUAAUACCGGAUAAUAUUUUGAACCGCAUGGUUCAAAAGUGAAAGACGGUCUUGCUUUCACUUAUAGAUGGAUCCGCGCUGCAUUAGCUAGUUGGUAAGGUAACGGCUUACCAAGGCAACGAUGCAUAGCCGACCUGAGAGGGGGAUGGACCACACUGUAACUGAAUCACGGUCCAUACUCCUACGGGAGGCAGCAGUAGGGAAUCUUCCGCAAUGGGCGAGAGCCUGACGGAGCAACGCCGCGUGAGUGAUGAAGGUCUUCGGAUAGUAAAACUCUGUUAUGAGGGAAGAACAUAUGUGUAAGUAACUGUGCACAUCUUGACGGUAACUAAUCAGAAAGCCACGGCUAACUACGUG